GGGGGUAUAGCUCAGCUGGGAGAGCAGCAGACUGAAGUCGUAAAGUUCGUACCACGUUCUUCUGAAGGUCCCGCGUUCGAUCCGCGGUACCCCCA
rnacentral:tRNA from 1 species